rnacentral:rRNA from 1 species
GACGAACGCUGGCGGCGUGCUUAACACAUGCAAGUCGAACGGACAGGCCCUGCUUUUGUUGGGUUCUCGAUUGGCGAACGGGUGAGUAACACGUGUGUAACCUGCCCUUGACUUUCUGAUAACUUCAGGAAACUGGGGCUCAUACCCGAUAUGAUCUCCUGCUGCAUGUUGUGGGUUGGAAAGUUUCGGCGUUUGUGGAUGGACUCGCUGCUUAUGAGCUUGUUGGUGUGGUAGUGGCUUACCAAGGCUUCGACGGGUAGCCGGCCUGAGAGGGGUAACGGCGACAAUGGGACUGAGAUACGGACCAGAAUGCUACGGGAGGCAGCAGUGGGGAAUAUUACAGAAUGGGGGGAAGCCUGAGGCAGAAACGCCGGGAGCGGGAUGACCGGCUUCGGGGUGUAAACAGAUUUCGCAGGUGACGAAGAGUGAGUGACGGUAAUGGGUAAAGAAGCACCGGCUAACUACGUG